rnacentral:rRNA from 1 species
AUGGCGGCGGCGGAGGGCGACGGGAAGCGGGACGAGAAGUCGAAGUCGAAGUCAAAGUCGAGGCCGCCGCAGGCAAACUCUUUGCUGGCGCCGCGGGUGGGGCUCGCCGGCGCGCUGAAGAAGCACGCGGCGUGGUGGUGGCCGGAGAAGGGGUCGCGGGUGGGGCUGGAGGGCGCGCUGACGAACGGCGUGGAGCAGGCGCUGUCCCCGCCACCGGAAAGCGGGUCGUCGGAAGGCGUGUCGGCGGCCAUCGCGUGCUGUGGUGCGGCCGGGCAGUGGUGGGUUGGGUUGUGCGCGCGGCGAAGUGGUGGGAGGAGUGUGGGAAGUGAGGUGGGGGGUGGUGGGAGUUUUCAAGUGCUUGGUGGUUUCACGGUUCAGCCCCUCUAG